GCGAUAAGGAGGAUGCCUUGCAAAGCACUUUACUUUUUGAAGUGUCCUGCGCGCCCACGACAGCCCUUGAAAAUCCUGGCUAGAGAUUUAUUCGC